AGUGAACGCUGGCGGUAGGCCUAACACAUUCAAGUCGAACGGCAGCACAGUAAGAGCUUGCUCUUACGGGUGGCGAGUGGCGGACGGGUGAGGAAUACAUCGGAAUCUACUUUUUCGUGGGGGAUAACGUAGGGAAACUUACGCUAAUACCGCAUACGACCUACGGGUGAAAGCAGGGGAUCUUCGGACCUUGCGCGAUUGAAUGAGCCGAUGUCGGAUUAGCUAGUUGGCGGGGUAAAGGCCCACCAAGGCGACGAUCCGUAGCUGGUCUGAGAGGAUGAUCAGCCACACUGGAACUGAGACACGGUCCAGACUCCUACGGGAGGCAGCAGUGGGGAAUAUUGGACAAUGGGCGCAAGCCUGAUCCAGCCAUACCGCGUGGGUGAAGAAGGCCUUCGGGUUGUAAAGCCCUUUUGUUGGGAAAGAAAAGCAGCAGGUUAAUACCCCGCUGUUCUGACGGUACCCAAAGAAUAAGCACCGGCUAACUUCGU
rnacentral:rRNA from 1 species